GAUGAACGCUAGCUACAGGCUUAACACAUGCAAGUCGAGGGGAAACGAUAUUGGAAGCUUGCUUCCGAUAGGCGUCGACCGGCGCACGGGUGAGUAACGCGUAUCCAACCUGCCCAUCACUUGGGGAUAACCUUGCGAAAGUAAGACUAAUACCCAAUGAUAUCUCUAGAAGACAUCUGAAAGAGAUUAAAGAUUUAUCGGUGAUGGAUGGGGAUGCGUCUGAUUAGCUUGUUGGCGGGGUAACGGCCCACCAAGGCGACGAUCAGUAGGGUUCUGAGAGGAAGGUCCCCCACAUUGGAACUGAGACACGGUCCAAGCUCCUACGGGAGGCAGCAGUGAGGAAUAUUGGUCAAUGGGCGAGAGCCUGAACCAGCCAAGUAGCGUGCAGGAUGACGGCCCUAUGGGUUGUAAACUGCUUUUAUAAGGGAAUAAAGUGAGUCUCGUGAGACUUUUUGCAUGUACCUUAUGAAUAAGGACGCUAAUUCGUGCCAGCAGCCGCGG
rnacentral:rRNA from 1 species